AACGAACGCUGGCGGCAGGCUUAACACAUGCAAGUCGAACGCAUCCUUCGGGGUGAGUGGCAGACGGGUGAGUAACACGUGGGAACGUACCUUUCGGUUCGGGAUAACCCAGGGAAACUUGGGCUAAUACCGGAUACGUCCUUAGGGAGAAAGAUUGAUUGCCGAAAGAUCGGCCCGCGUCUGAUUAGCUAGUUGGUGAGGUAACGGCUCACCAAGGCGACGAUCAGUAGCUGGUCUGAGAGGANGAUCAGCCACACUGGGACUGAGACACGGCCCAGACUCCUACGGGAGGCAGCAGUGGGGAAUAUUGGACAAUGGGCGCAAGCCUGAUCCAGCCAUGCCGCGUGAGUGAUGAAGGCCCUAGGGUUGUAAACCUCUUUCAGUACCGACGAAGCGCCGAUGAUGGUGGUGACGGUAGGUACAGAAGAAGCACCGGCCAACUACGUGCCAGC
rnacentral:rRNA from 1 species